rnacentral:rRNA from 1 species
AGCUAGUUGGUAGGGUAAUGGCCUACCAAGGCGACGACGGGUAGGGGACCUGAGAGGGUGAUCCCCCACAAUGGAACUGAAACACGGUCCAUACAUCUACGGAUGGCAGCAGUAGGGAAUAUUGCACAAUGGGCGAAAGCCUGAUGCAGCAACGCCGCGUGUGCGAUGAAGGCCUUCGGGUUGUAAAGCACUUUUCUGAGGGAAGAGGAAGGACGGUACCUCAGGAAUAAGUCUCGGCUAACUACGUGCCAGCAGCCGCGGUAACACGUAGGAGGCAAGCGUUAUUCGGAUUUACUGGGCGUAAAGCGCGUGCAGGCGGUUUGGUAAGUUGGAUGUGAAAGCUCCUGGCUUAACUGGGAGAGGUCGUUCAAUACUGCCAAACUAGAGGACGGUAGAGGAAGGUAGAAUUCCUGGUGUAGUGUGAAAUGCGUAGAUAUCAGGAGGAAUACCAGUGGCGAAGGCGGCCUUCUGGGCCGUUCCCGACGCUAAGAUGCGAAAGCAUGGGUAGCGAACGGGAUUAGAAACCCCGGUAGUCCAUGCUGUAACGAUGCAAACUAGGUGUUGGUGGUGUAAAAGCCAUCAGUGCCGCAGCUAACGCGAUAAGUUUGCCGCCUGGGGACUACGGCCGCAAGGUUAAAACUCAAAGGAAUUGACGGGUUCCCGCACAAGCAGCGGAGCGUGUGGUUUAAUUCGAUCUACGCGAAGAACCUUACCUGGGCUUGACAUAUAGGUGGUAGGAGACCGAAAGGCGACCGACCCUUCGGGGAGCCUAUACAGGUGCUGCAUGGCUGUCGUCAGCUCGUGUCGUGAGAUGUCCGGUUAAGUCCGGUAACGAGCGCAACCCUUGCCGUAUGUUAUACGUGUCAUACGGGACUGCCGAUAUAAAAUCGGGGGAAGGAGGGGAUGACGUCAAGUCAGCAUGGCCUUUAUGUCCAGGGCUACACACACGCUACAAUGGCCAGUACAAUAGGUUGCAAAGCCGCGAGGCGGAGCCAAUCCUCAAAGCUGGUCUCAGUUCGGAUUGCAGGCUGCAACUCGCCUGCAUGAAGCCGGAGUUGCUAGUAAACGCGCGUCAGCAACAGUGCGUUGAAUACGUUCCCGGGAAUUGUACACACCGCCCGUCACGUCAUGGAAGCUGGAAACACUUAAAGUCAGUAUCCUAACCCUAACGGGAGGGAGCUGCCAAAGGUGGGUCUGGUAACUGGGACGAAGUCGUAACAAGGUAGGUGUAGCGGAAGCUGCGCCUGG